rnacentral:rRNA from 1 species
UGCGGUUACACAAAAAUUAAAUUGAAUUUUUUUAGGAUUUAAUAAAUAAAAAUAAAUUAUAAUUUAAAUUUUAAAUUAUAAAGUGAAAUUUUAAUUUAAUUAAAAAUUAUUUUUUUUUAUUAUAUUAAUAAAUUUUUUAAAAAACUAGGAUUAGAUACCCUAUUAUAAAAAUUUAAAUAAAAAAAUCUUUGAAUAGUAUAUAAUAUUUUAUAGAAACUUAAAUAAUUUGGCGGUAUUUUAGUUUAUUUAGAGGAAUCUGUUUAAUAAUUGAUAAUCCACGAUUAAAUUUACUUAAUUUUUAAUUUUGUAUAUCGUUGUUAUAAAAAUAUUUUUUAAUAAUUAUAAUAUUUUAAAAUUUUAAUAAAAAAUUAAAUCAGAUCAAGAUGCAGAUUAUAAUUAAGAAUAUAAUGGAUUACAAUAAAAUUUAUUUUUGGAUAUUAUUUUGUAAGAAAUAAUUUAAAUUGGAUUUAAAUGUAAUUUUAUUAAUUUAAAUAAAAUGAUUUUUAAUUAAAAUAUGUACAUAUUGCCCGUCGCUUUCAUUUAUAAAUUGGAAUAAGUCGUAACAAAGUAGAAGUACUGGAAAGUGUUUCUAGAAAGAU